UUGACCCGUCUUGAAGCACGGACCAAGGAGUCUAACACGUGCGCGAGUCGUCGGGUUCCUCUAAACCCGAAGGCGUAUUGAACGAAAAGGCUGGUCCUUUGUGGCCGGCCGAGGGACGAUGAGGUUUCCUUUGGGCGACCUUCGCAGUCCCGGGGCGUCUCGACCUACACCUGCUUGUCAGGCGAAGGUAAGGCGCACCAAGAGCGCACGCGUUGGUACCCGAAAGAUGGUGAACUAUGCCUGGCCAGGACGAAGUCAGGGGAAACCCUGAUGGAGGUCCGUAGCGAUUCUGACGUGCAAAUCGAUCGUCAGAGCUGGGUAUAGGGGCGAAAGACUAAUCGAACCAUCUAGUAGCUGGUUCCCUCCGAAGUUUCCCUCAGGAUAGCUGGCAUUCGGAGAAGUGAAUCCCAUCCGGUAAAGCGAAUGAUUAGAGGCCGUGGGAUCGAAACGAUUUCAACCUAUUCUCAAACUUUAAAUGGGUGGGAACCGCGGCCUGCUUGAAAGUGAGGCCGCGGAUCACGGAUCAGAGUGCCCAGUGGGCCACUUUUGGUAAGCAGAACUGGCGCUGUGGGAUGAACCAAACGCCUGGUUAAGGCGCCUAAAACGACGCUCAUUAGACACCAUGAAAGGUGUUGGUUGCUUAAGACAGCAGGACGGUGGCCAUGGAAGUCGGAAUCCGCUAAGGAGUGUGUAACAACUCACCUGCCGAAGCAACUAGCCCUGAAAAUGGAUGGCGCUGAAGCGUCGUGCCUAUACCAGGCCGCCGGCGGCAGACAGCGGUCGUCCUUGUGACGGUCGCUACCAAGCCCCGGUGAGUAGGAGGGUCGCGACGGUGAGCGCAGAAGGGUCUGGGCGUGAGCCUGCCUGGAGCCGCCGUCGGUGCAGAUCUUGGUGGUAGUAGCAAAUACUCCAGCGAGGGCCUGGAGGACUGAUGUGGAGAAGGGUUCCGUGUGAACAGCCGUUGCACACGGGUCAGUCGAUCCUAAGCCCUAGGCGAAAGCCGAUGAUGAUGGUCGUGGGAAUUUAUUUAUAAAUUUAUCCCGUCCAUUGGGCGAAAGGGAAUCCGGUUAA
rnacentral:rRNA from 1 species